GUACCUAUUGAGCUUAAGGUUGAGGCCACAGAACUCUGGCAGCACCAGGACGGGACAUCUCUGUCAACUGCUUGCCGGAAAAGCUGAUAUUCCCAUAUCCUGAAGAGAUGAAACAACGUUUUCUAGAUGUGCUGCCUGAUGUUCACAAUCUCUCUGGAUUCUAAACAAUGUAAGCACAUGGUCACCGGUGGCAUCAAUGUCACCUCCAUUAUGUGUAUCCUGGAGCUAUGACUUCUUGUCCUCUUCGAAGGGUGCUGUCCGAUAGUCUACAAAAAGAAGUAACUCGAAAGGGUAAAGUCCAAUGGAAUAAUAGAGUAGGUGUAUGAGCAGAGGAGAUACAGGCAAUAUGUGUUUUUGCUGCCAUUCCUUGUCAUCACAUCCACAUGUAGUCUUCCUGAUGCUCCAUGAGGAUAGAGUUCUGGUGGAUCCAUAAUGUGUGGAAGAUCUUUCAACAGGUGAAAUGCGGCCACCCCACAGCACCAAAUUCAGAUGUUACAGUUCUAUUUGCUGCAGAGACUAAUACUUCUGAGUCCCAGCUCCUCAUCUGCAUGUAAUUGAUCUGGGAUAACAUAAUCACAGAGCAGUCAGGACUGGCAUUUAGGAAGCCCUGGACGGCAGCUGCAGGCUGUGUGCCCGUGAGGGAUCCAGAGUGGAAAUGUACUGUGCUGCUUACGGGGGAAUUCCUAAGCUUCACUUGUGGUCUUGAUGCCUUCCUGACACUAUGGUCUUAAAGAGGCUGGUCAAGUGAAGCAGUGGGAGUGGAGAAGGAACAAAGGAAUCUGUAACUGGUUGUGAUCAAUUAGCUGUAAACACCAGUGUAAACAUCUCAGACCAACCAAAAACUAUUUUUUAACUUUAAAGUUAAUUAACCUUUUAAUGACUUUGUUGUGUCUGCUUUUUGU